AAGCUCCGAUCCAGUUUCUAAAACGCACGAUCUGCGGCUCUGGGGCGAACUUUGAUUGCCGUUUUAUGUCUUUUCUUUGAUUUUUUUUUUUUUACUCGUUUUAAACAUUCAAUCAAGUCAACCGCUGCACAGAUCU